ACCCUGAGUAGCUCAGUCAGUAGAGUAUUAGGCUCUCAAUCUGAAGGUCCAGGGUUCAAUUCCCUGUUUGGGUG